GGGAAAUGGCCUCGCGUGUGCCUGGAGAUUAGAGUUUGAUCCUGGCUCAGAAUGAACGUUGGCGGCGUGGAUUAGGCAUGCAAGUCGAGCGAGAAACCAAUUAGCUUGCUAAGAGGUGGACAGCGGCGAAAGGGAGAGUAACGCGUGGUUACGUGCCCUCGGGACCGGGAUAGUGUUGGGAAACUGGCAGUAAUACCGGAUAACAUCUAUGGAUCAAAUGGUGAGAUUCCGCCCGAGGAUCGGACCGCGUACUAUUAGCUUGUUGGCGGGGUAAUGGCCCACCAAGGCUGCGAUGGUUACCGGGUGUGAGAGCAUGGCCCGGCUCACUGGGACUGAGACACUGCCCAGACAUCUACGGAUGGCUGCAGUCGAGAAUCUUCGGCAAUGGACGAAAGUCUGACCGAGCGACGCCGCGUGCGGGAUGAAGGCCCUCGGGUUGUAAACCGCUGUCAGUUGGGAGGAAAUUCAUGGGGGUUCUCCCCUGUGAUUGACCGAGCUUCAGAGGAAGGACGGGCUAAGUUCGUGCCAGCCGCCGCGGUAA
rnacentral:rRNA from 1 species